rnacentral:rRNA from 1 species
UUGUCCGGAAUUAUUGGGCGUAAAGGGCUCGUAGGCGGUUUGUCGCGUCGGGAGUGAAAACUCAGGGCUCAACCCUGAGCGUGCUUCCGAUACGGGCAGACUAGAGGUAUGCAGGGGAGAACGGAAUUCCUGGUGUAGCGGUGGAAUGCGCAGAUAUCAGGAGGAACACCGGUGGCGAAGGCGGUUCUCUGGGCAUUACCUGACGCUGAGGAGCGAAAGCAUGGGGAGCGAACAGGAUUAGAUACCCUGGUAGUCCAUGCCGUAAACGUUGGGCGCUAGGUGUGGGGACCUUCCACGGUCUCCGUGCCGCAGCUAACGCAUUAAGCGCCCCGCCUGGGGAGUACGGCCGCAAGGCUAAAACUCAAAGGAAUUGACGGGGGCCCGCACAAGCGGCGGAGCAUGCUGAUUAAUUCGAUGCAACGCGAAGAACCUUACCUGGGUUUGACAUAUACCGGAAAGCUGCAGAGAUGUAGCCCCCCUUGUGGUCGGUAUACAGGUGGUGCAUGGCUGUCGUCAGCUCGUGUCGUG